rnacentral:rRNA from 1 species
UACGAAGGGGGCUAGCGUUGCUCGGAAUCACUGGGCGUAAAGGGUGCGUAGGCGGGUCUUUUAAGUCAGGGGUGAAAUCCCAGAGCUCAACUCUGGAACUGCCUUUGAUACUGGGUAUCUUGAGUAUGGAAGAGGUGAGUGGAAUUCCGAGUGUAGAGGUGAAAUUCGUAGAUAUUCGGAGGAACACCAGUGGCGAAGGCGGCUCACUGGUCCAUUACUGACGCUGAGGUGCGAAAGCGUGGGGAGCAAACAGG